rnacentral:misc_RNA from 1 species
UUAAAAUUUAUUUUCAUUUUAGAUAUAAAUUAAUGGAUGAUUAUGAUCCACACAUAAAAACAAAUAUGUCGAAUACAAUAAUAAUUAACAAUAUCUCCGAUUCUCAAAUCUACAUUUAUAAAUAAUGCAAAUUUCAAGCUUUAGCUGGUGUGUCUCCUGAAAAGGAACACAAGCAUGCUGGAAAUUGGAAAGCAAAACUACCUUUCUUUUGCUUUUGGAGUCUACGGUUCCUUUACGUACUUGAGUUUAUUGAAGAUCCAACGUUCUCAAGGCGUUUAGUAGGAUUCUAUGCUGUACAAUCUACAUAACUAGGAAUACUCCUCCUUUCUUUACUUUGGUAUUCCUAUUGAUUCUUUGCAUCUUUUUUUUUUAUGUACACAAGUUGAAAACGCACUGUCGUUUCUUCCUUUUGUCUACGAACUCCUUUUCCUCUCUUUCUUCUGUUAUAAUCUUUAAAGAAACCUUGCAUUUCAGUUCCCAGCUUAGGAUGCUUUUGGUACCACUGCCAACUUCAAUGGCGCAACCUACAGUUUGUUUCUUGGAUAAGGGAAACACACGGAAAACCAUUGCUCUUAAUUAAAACCCAAAUCAUCUUGUCAGCCCAACUGAGAUUAUCUAAUUGUUGGGUGAUUUAUACUCUUCUGUUUUGAAGAGCUCAUCGCGGAAAACUUUUCUAAAGAAUGCCACUCGCCAUUUUUUCGUGCAUUUCAAGCAGCUGAGAUUACCAUUAAGAAUCUGCACAACCUGAGUCAUUUGAGGCCUCCGUAAUGAACACUGUUGUAUGCAUAAAGAAGCGGCCAAUAGCAUGAGAUUCAUCUGUCGAGCAUUAUAAUCAUUGGCAAGAGCAGGAUCAACUAGCUCACUGAUCUCACUCUUCUUGAGCAAGGGUUUUGCCCACAAGACAAGGCUUUGUUGCGAGUAAUCCAGUGCUCGCCGUCCUGUGGCUAAUUCCAACAGCAGCACACCAAAGGCAAAAACAUCAGUUUUUUCAUCCACUAUUCCGUGCAUUAAGUACUCGGGAGCAAGAUAGCCAAAUGUGCCUUCGAAUUUGGAUACAAUGUGGUGAGUCCAAUGCUCGGGUAGCCAUUUUGCAAGCCCAAAAUCACAAAUCUGAGGCUCAAAGUCCUCUGUAAGCAAAAUGUUAGCAGCCUUGAUAUCUCUAUGUAUUAUUCUUCUCUGACAACCCUCAUGAAGAUAGAGUAAACCCUCAGCUGUUCCUAGUGCAAUCUUAUACCUAAUCUCCCAUGUCAAUGUAUCUUGGGAGCCUAUCAAAAUGGACAUUUAUCAUAAAUGGAAAGGGUGAAGGAUUCCAUCACCAUGGGAAUGGACUAUUUCAAAUUUCAACAUAGAGAACUAAGCAAAGUUGAACUAACCAUAAAGCAGAGAAGCUAAGCUCCCAUGGGGAGACAAUUCAAGAACAAGGUGCAUCCCUCCUUCAAUUCCAUAGCCAAUUAACUUAGCUGUAUUGGGGUGGUUCACAUGGGCCAUAAUUCCCAUCUCUGAUAGGAAGUCCCCUAUCAUCUCAUCAAGUGUUCCUCUUGUCAGCCGCUUAAUAGCCAUUAGUUUCCCAUUUUUCAAACACCCUUUGUAAACUUCAGCGUAACCACCCUUUCCAAUCUGAUUUUCUUGGCUGAAAUUGUUUGUUGCAGCUUGGAGCUCAGAGAGAGAGAAGCAUUUUCUCGGAGACUUUAAAUUGUACGAAUCAGAGUUUGAAAAAAGAUUCGGCACCAUCUCUCUCAUACUAGAGCUCCUUCUCAAUGAGUGCUUUAGGACACUGAGGGGAUGCAAUGUAGCUAAACGUUUCUUUGAUCGACUUCUCAGCAAUUGGAAAAAUCCAUGCCAAAGAGAAGUGGCUUUUGAAUUUCUCUGAGAUUCCAAGACCGAAGUGGGUUCUUUCGAAGAACAGCUUUCGGAUUCUUCGCUUCUAAAGUAGUCUUCAAGAACCCCAACAGGAGAGCUUUUAUCUACCUUUUUCUCCAUAUCUGGAGCAGGGACGAAGACUCAGAACAGAGUAUUGUGUUUUCUUAUCCUCAAAUAUUAAUAGUUGAAUUUUACCAAGAUUUCCCUGUUCUCUCAGAGAGGAGAAGCUGAAUUUUUCUGAGACAGUGGCAGAGAACGUAGCAUAGAAGCAGAGGAGACAAGAGACAGGAGGCAGAGGUGGACGUAAAUUCAGAGUUACUGCAACGAAUCCCUGCUUCUGUCAAAGUGGUCGGAGAUUCUUUUAAAUAUUUAAAUUAUUAUUUUAUGUUUGAUUAAAAAAUAAGAUUUUGUAAAGUUGCAGAGGCUAAAAGAUUCUGAAGUUCCUUUCCACCCGCCGUACUCGACUGGCGUCUGAGCUUAUGGUCGCUGGUCAGAGCCGGCUCUUUUUGGUCUCUACCAGGCGUCGGCACCUCGAAUGUCC